UUCUUCUCGUCUUCUCCGUCGCAUCCACAGAAACCAGAUCUAAAAAAACUACCAGAAGCUCUUUUUCUCCAUCAGCUUCUGCACCUCAUCUUCUCCAUUACAAAACAGCAAGUGUCAUCAUCUUCUUUCUACGCCGUCUCCAAUAUCAAACCAGGAACAUCAUAUUCCUCUACCAUAUCUAUCUCCUCCACAAUCACCAACACCACCAUCGACAUCAUCAACUUUAUCCAACAAACACCAUCAUAGGUACCAGCAACACCACCAUCAAAAUGGUUUUCUGUUUGCGUAAUUUAAUUAAAUUUCUCAAAUUAGGGUUUUAUGUUAAUUCGAUUUCAGAAGAUAAGAAAUGAAGACUAUGCUCAAAUUGGUUACCGAUGGCCGUUGGAGUAGAAGAUGUUCAUGGUUUUAUUGGGUUUGGUUGAGACAAUUUGAGGUGGUGGUGGUCUGAUGUUGCUAAGAAGAUGUGAAAUUAAUGGUUUUACAGAUUACUCUGUUCUUCUCCAACCCAGUAAACAUUUGAAGAAGAUAUGGACAUAUUGGAAUUCUUGGUUUUGGUCUUUUUGACCAAUUUUGUGUUUUUUUGGAUCACUGUGCAAAUUUUGCACCAUACUGGUACUCGUUUGGCUAAAAUGACGAUUUUGAAUGAUAUGGCACCUUUUGAGUCACAAAUGCAUAGAUUUUGGAUCGCGUAGCAAGUUAUAGGAUAAUUAUGGGAUAAAUUUUGGAUUACAAGGCAGAUUUUGGGUCUUAGGACAAAUUUUUGAGUUGGGCAAGUUUGGAGUCACGUCGGCAACUCUAAAGUUGCAAUGCUAAUUUUGCGUUACAGGACUUGGCCGGAGAUCUUGAGUUACAUUCAAUGGCAAUUUUGGUUUUCGUGCAAAUGUUGAAUCCUGUGGCAAAGACUAUGGUGCAGCAAUCAAGGUAAAGAUAAAAUACUGUCAAUAGAUCAGAAAAGGGAGCAAUGGCCAUGGAAGACUUCCUCCUACACGCCAUGCACCAUCAGCUGAUUUUUAUUCAACUUAAUACAAACACUUAGAUUUUUCUCUUACUAACACAGAUAAAUACUCAUAGAUAUAGUUUAUAUAUUAAUCUUUGUUUGUAGAAUAAUUGUCUGAACAUGUAUAGAUUUUAGCACAAACUAAGAAACUCAAAGAAUCCAUACUGCAAUAUUCUGGAACAUAUCAUAACAAAAGCUAGUUACACACCAACCAAA